rnacentral:rRNA from 1 species
AGCAGCCGCGGUAAUUCCAGCUCCAAUAGCGUAUAUUAAAGUUGUUGCAGUUAAAAAGCUCGUAGUUGAAUUUCGGGAUUGACGUGACGGUCGUGCCUUAAGGGGUAUGAACUGUCGCCGUUGAUUUCUCACCUUCUGGAGAAGCUCGAUGUCCUUAAUUGGAUGUCUUGUGGAACCAGGACCUUUACCUUGAAAAAAUUAGAGUGUUUAAAGCAGGCAUUUUGCUCGAAUACAUUAGCAUGGAAUAAUAGAAUAGGACGGCGUGGUUCUAUUUUGUUGGUUUCUAGGAUCACCGUAAUGAUUAAUAGGGAUAGUUGGGGGCAUUAGUAUUCAAUUGUCAGAGGUGAAAUUCUUGGAUUUAUUGAAGACUAACUACUGCGAAAGCAUUUGCCAAGGAUGUUUUCAUUAAUCAAGAACGAAAGUUAGGGGAUCGAAGACGAUCAGAUACCGUCGUAGUCUUAACCAUAAACUAUGCCGACUAGGGAUCGGAUGAUGUUAAUUUUUUAAUGACUC